rnacentral:lncRNA from 1 species
AUUUAUUAUGACUUUCUUGGUUAGAAGAACUAAACCUCAUUAAUUUCUUUUGACGAAGUUAUUUUAGCCAAAGUCCCAAACCUUCCAGCUAUCUGUGCUCUUGGUUAUAUUGGUGUAUACUUAGUUGAAAAUCUACAGAAGACUGAAGAGACCAAACAACUUAUGAUGUUGAAAUUCAAAUUAUAUAUCUAACCAAAAAUAUUGAAAACUUCUGAUAUUUUACAGAUAAUGUUCUGUAAGCUUUUCAGGCAUUGAUAGACCUAUGGUAUCAACCUCUGCAGUUGUUGCAAUAAGAAUGAGACAAAGCAAAUCCUUUUUGAACAGAGCCAAAUGAAUUUCAAAACAGAAGAGCAGAGUUUCAAGUUCAGGUGAGUAACAGAACAAAGGAACCUGCCUAUGCCCAGAUUGGUCUAGGUGCCCACCAGUCUACCAUGUUUGUCAACAACUGAAUCCUGCCAGGGCUCCUGCCAUUUCUCCUGCCCAAUCUCCUCAUCAGGCUGCCUGCAACUACUUUGGAGCACAGGAUUCCAGGUUUCCAGACCUAGCAGAAGCCUAGCAGUCUGAAGCAGAUAAAAAAUUAGGAUGGACAAUAUGUUGGAAAGACAUUUACAUAAACAGUGAGCAGUAGUGAACAGGAAAAACCAAUCUGAUGAUCCAGUGAGUAACUGCUUAUUUCAAAGACUCAGGGAAUGUCAAGCAAGAAGAAAAAGUACAUUCCAGUCACUAUCCAGCAACCUUGAGUAUGGAUCUGUAAUGGAAUCUAAUGGAUCUGUAUGGUUUUAUGCACAUGUAAAAUAGCAUAAAAAUGGCAGACUAUUGGGACACAAAUAAACAUCCCAUUGCUUUUUAUUGUUGGCCUUUG